rnacentral:rRNA from 1 species
AUUGAACGCUGGCGGCAGGCCUAACACAUGCAAGUCGAGCGGAUGAAGGGGGCUUGCUCCUGUCUUCAGCGGCGGACGGGUGAGUAAUGCCCAGGAGUCUGCCUGGUCUUGGGGGCUGACGUCCGGACACGGGCGCUAAUACCGCAUCCGUCCUGAUGUUGAAAGUGGUGGAUCUUCGGACCUCACGCUAUCUGAUGAGCCUAGGUCGGAUUAGCUAGUUGGUUGGGUAAAGGCCUACCAAGGCGACGAUCCGUAACUGGUCUGAGAGGAUGAUCAGUCACACUGGAACUGAGACACGGUCCAGACUCCUACGGGAGGCAGCAGUGGGGAAUAUUGGGCAAUGGGCGAAAGCCUGAUCCAGCAAUGCCGCGUGUGUGAUGAAGGUCUUCGGAUUGUAAAGCACUUUAAGUUGGGAGGAAGAGAAGUAAGUUAAUCCAUUGCUGUUUUGACGUUACCAAAAGAAAAAGCACCGGCUAACUUCGUG